CACGUAGGGUGCGAGCGUUGUCCGGAAUUAUUGGGCGUAAAGAGCUCGUAGGCGGUGUGUCGCGUCGGCCGUGAAAACCUGCAGCUUAACUGUGGGCUUGCGGUCGAUACGGGCAUCACUGGAGUUCGGCAGGGGAGACUGGAAUUCCUGGUGUAGCGGUGAAAUGCGCAGAUAUCAGGAGGAACACCGGUGGCGAAGGCGGGUCUCUGGGCCGGAACUGACGCUAAGGAGCGAAAGCGUGGGGAGCGAACAGG
rnacentral:rRNA from 1 species